rnacentral:rRNA from 1 species
ACCCAUCUCGAACACGGAAGUUAAGCUCUUUAGCGUCGAUGGUACUGCAUGGGAGACUGUGUGGGAGAGUAGAACGCCGCCAGAU